rnacentral:misc_RNA from 1 species
GUGAAUCAUCAAAUCUUUGAACGCACAUUGCACUCUUUUCUGUGAGUAUGCCUGUUUGUGGGUCAGUCUAAUAAAAAUCGUCAUCGUCGCUGUUUUCGCGGUGACAUUUGUCGGUGAUUGGGUCAUCUUACCGCUUUGGGUUUUAAGCGUCUUAAAAUUUUUUUUACGGAUUCUCCGAACGUUUCUAAGAUUUACUUCUUACAAACGUUUAAGGUGUCGAUCUUUAUUAGACGUGGCCGUUGCAUCGGAU